rnacentral:rRNA from 1 species
UUGAAUUUCGGGGGUUAUAGGUUGGUCAUGCCUCUGGUAUGUACUGGUCUCACUGAUUCCUCCUUUCCUGAUGAACCUUAAUGCCAUUAAUUUGGUGUUUUUGGGGAAUUUGGACUGUUACUUUGAAAAAUUUAGAGUGUUUAAAGCAAGCUAACGCUUGAAUACAUUAGCAUGGAAUAAUGAAUAGGACGUUCGAUCCAUUUUGUGGUUUCUAGGAUUGACGUAAUGAUUAAUAGGGAUAGUUGGGGGCAUUAGUAUUCAAUUGUCAGAGGUGAAAUUCUUGGAUUUAUUGAAGACUAACUACUGCGAAAGCAUUUGCCAAGGAUGUUUUCAUUAAUCAAGAACGAAAGUUAGGGGAUCGAAGACGAUCAGAUACCGUCGUAGUCUUAACCAUAAACUAUGCCGACUAGGGAUCGGAUGAUGUUAAUUUUUUAAUGACUC